GGGCACCAGGGUGACCUGGCCGCGACACCCGUGAGCCCGGUGCUGGCAAUGAUGAUUCGGCUGGUCUGCCUGGCUACGGCGGCUGUCCCCUGUCUCCCUCAUCUCACGUGCGUCCUUCCCGAAGCCGCGGGCUGGGUGGCAGGGGACGACCGUCCCGGGUUGGGGAGGACCCUUUUUCCAUCAAGGGUACACGAGUAGCUGUGAUCCACCGCUGGAACCCCCAACACACCGCCGUACCGAGAUAGAUGGACAUACAGACAUACUCCGUAUUCAAACUUCCCUGGUGUCUCCAUGUAUUUUCUAUAUGAAAAGACAUUUUCUU
rnacentral:snRNA from 1 species